GGACUACACGGGUUUCUAAUCCCGUUUGCUCCCCUGGCUUUCGUGCCUGAGCGUCAGGAACUGUCCAGAGACUCGCCUUCGCCACCGGUGUUCUGGUCGAUCUCUACGCAUUUCACCGCUACACCGACCAUUCCAGUCUCCUCUCCAGUCCUCGAGCCUGCCAGUUUCCAAUGACUUGUCACAGUUAGGCUGUGAAAUUUCACACCGGACUUAACAGACCGCCUGCGCACCCUUUACGCCCAAUGAAUCCGAACAACGCUUGCAGUCUCUGUAUUACCGCGGCGGCUGGCAC
rnacentral:rRNA from 1 species